rnacentral:rRNA from 1 species
CCUACGGGGGGCUGCAUUGGGGAAUAUUGGACAAUGGGGGGAACCCUGAUCCAGCCAUGCCGCGUGUGUGAAGAAGGCCCUCGGGUUGUAAAGCACUUUCAGUGAGGAAGAACGCCUGGUGGUUAAUACCCAUCAGGAAAGACAUCACUCACAGAAGAAGCACCGGCUAACUCCGUGCCAGCAGCCGCGGUAAUACGGAGGGUGCGAGCGUUAAUCGGAAUUACUGGGCGUAAAGCGCGCGUAGGUGGCUUGAUAAGCCGGUUGUGAAAGCCCCGGGCUCAACCUGGGAACGGCAUCCGGAACUGUCAAGCUAGAGUGCAGGAGAGGAAGGUAGAAUUCCCGGUGUAGCGGUGAAAUGCGUAGAGAUCGGGAGGAAUACCAGUGGCGAAGGCGGCCUUCUGGACUGACACUGACACUGAGGUGCGAAAGCGUGGGUAGCAAACAGGAUUAGAUACCCGGGUAGUC